rnacentral:rRNA from 1 species
UGAGGAAUAUUGGGCAAUGCCCGAAAGGGUGACCCAGCAACGCCGCGUGGAGGAUGAAGGUCGUAAGAUUGUAAACUCCUGUUAGAGGGGAAGAAUAACUAAGUUUGGAGCUUAGUAUGACUGUACCCUCAGAGAAAGCCCCGGCUAACUACGUGCCAGCAGCCGCGGUAAUACGUAGGGGGCAAGUGUUGUCCGGAUUUACUGGGUGUAAAGGGCGCGCAGGCGGAAUGGAAAGUCAGUGGUGAAAUCCUACAGCUUAACUGUAGAACUGCCUUUGAUACUUUCAUUCUUGAGUUCGGGAGAGAGAGACGGAAUUCCAGGUGUAGUGGUGAAAUACGUAGAUAUCUGGAAGAACACCAGUUGCGAAGGCGGUCUCUUGGUCCGAUACUGACGCUGAGGCGCGAAAGCGUGCGGAGCAAACA